rnacentral:rRNA from 1 species
AGCAGUCGCCACGGUAAUACGUAGGUGGCGAGCGUUAAUCGGAAUUACUGGGCGUAAAGCGUGCGCAGGCGGUUGUGUAAGACAGGUGUGAAAUCCCCGGGCUUAACCUGGGAACUGCGCUUGUGACUGCACAGCUAGAGUAUGGCAGAGGGGGGUGGAAUUCCACGUGUCGCAGUGAAAUGCGUAGAGAUGUGGAGGAACACCGAUGGCGAAGGCAGCCCCCUGGGCCAAUACUGACGCUCAUGCACGAAAGCGUGGGGAGCAAACAGGAUUAGAUACCCCUGUAGUCCCUGUCUCUUAUAC